AGGCCAAAGGGGGAAACCGGUCACGUGGCGGGGGCUGGCUGGCUGAAUGUGCCGGGCGGGCUUGGGGGGAAUCGCCUGGGCCUGAGGGAAGCGGCGGGCGAGAGCGGAGAGCCUAGAGCGCAGCGGGGCCCAGUGCUGAAGGUCGGGGGGGGCAGCGGGAGCCUUGGAGCAGAGCGAGGGCGCUGCUUCGCUUUGGGGCGUCUUUCGAGGGGAGCCUUUUCGGGUUUUGGGGUCGAGGUUCCAGGGAGCCCCUCUUUUUUUCCGGGGGAGCCGGAGGUCGGGCUUUUUUUUUUUCUUUUUUGGAAGGGGAGUUCAUGGGCCUCCCGCGGACGAACUGGGGCGAGAGACACCCGAAAGAGCGGGCGGACCGUAACGGAAAUCCGCCAGCGCCCUCCGAAAAAGCGGGGAGGCGGCUUGGAUCGGGCUUUUGGGAGCCGCUCUAGAGGGCAGCAGAGCUCCGGGCAGAGGAAGGGUGGAAGUCGCAUUGGGUGUGGGGCGCGAGGAAAAUCCUCCGAGGGGGAAGAGGCGUUUUUCAGGCGGCCCGCUGCUGCUUUUGUUACGGUUGCGGGGAGGUAGAUUCCGGGAGGACGGGGAUUGGUGCUGAGUAACGCCGGAAAGGGAGAAUUGAGUUUUUUGAGCUCGAGAGCAGGGAAUCCAGCUCCAUAGGGGUGUUUUGUAAGCUUUGUACACGAGUUUGUAUGAGGUCGUUUACUAGGGGAGGAGAAAGUUUAGGGUGUUGAAGCAAAAGGCAUAGUGAAGAAUAACGAGCGUGGGCACCGAUACCAGAUAACCCAUUUGCUCUCUGGAAGCAUCGCAAAUUUGGAGCAGGGCAGGAAAUCUGGGGAUUUCACUGGAGAAGCUUCUACAGUUUUGAGUGGCUUUUUGUAGUUUCAAAAAGCCACUCAAACAAGUGGCAUCGUUCCCAAUCUUGUUAGUUUGAGACCGGCUUAACAGUGUAGAAAGAGUCGUCACCAGGAAGCUUAUAUUUUCUUUAAAAAGUAGCGUGGGUUAGAGCUGGACUUCAGUCAGGUCCCUGGUGGUCAGUAUCUUUUGCCUCCUCAACCUACAUCCAAGCCCAGGUAGAGACCAUGCAGAAAGAAGAACUGGGCAUGGAUGAGAAUCGCAACCCAGAGGAAGAAUUGUGUCUCAUGGGAGGAAAGAAGGAGAAAUGCCAUAAUCUCAACAACCGCAUCCGAACAGGAUCAUGGAAUCAAAUGGAUAUACUGCAAGUUCUGAGAUAGUUGAUGAGCCCAGUGUCCCCUGAGUCCUUCCAACAGCCUCAACAUCCGCAAUCUCCAGCUGUCUGAGCGAGACCCACCCAGCAUACCGCCGUUAUCCUCCUAAUUUCCAUCAUGGCCGACCCUUCCGUCCUGCCUACCGCAAAACUUAUCGAGGCAACCCCUCAGACCGCAAGGAAUGGGGACCUAGCACUAAUGGCCACCACUGUGCUCCAGAGGGUCUUUCCAAUGGGAGAUGGCAGCAUCGACGCCGUGGCUAUUCUGACUCACCCUCCCCAUUGUCUUCCCCUGAAUU